rnacentral:misc_RNA from 1 species
AUCAUUAGGUCUACCCCUAGAUAAUGCCACGCUCAGUAUGAAAGACUAUUGCUCCAUGGCCAGGGCCCGCUUAAGCCUCUGAAGGACCGGUAAAGUAAAUGUCAAUCAACUACUCUUAACAACCAGUAAACUGAGCAGGUAGUUUAAUUUCGAGUCCAGAAUGGAAACAAUGUUGAUUUCAACAUAAACACAGACCUAGAUUUGACGUUUAUCCAAAAUGAUUUUUUUACAAAAACUACGUAGUUUGCUGUUCGUUUUGUUAUUGUAUGAAAUCGUGGUUGAAGUGAGGUCACGAAAUAUAGAAAGGAAACCUAAAAAGGACGCUAAAACAAAGUCGAAGACACUAGAUGGACGUAAAAUCAAAGCCAAAGGCAAAGGAAAAAAGCAAUUCUUCCCAAUGCCAAUUGGGCAAGCAAGCUACUGCAAGUGCAAGAAAAUUUCACUCAAGGGGCGGGAGAGAUGAAUGAAUACCGACAGCCGCUAUGAUAAGUAGACUGAUUUUGAUAUAAAUGGCGCGUAACGUGCUACAAAAUGAUCGCAAUAUUGAAUAUUUAAAAACAAAACUAUCAUUCGUUGAAUCAUCUCAGAUUUAGUAUUCCUUUCGCCGUAGCUGGCCAGUUUCCAGGUAGCCCGUAUCCAAUGCCUGAGUACAAGCCAGUCUCCGCUAUGAACCAGGAGAUGAAGAUUGUGAAAGGUUUACCUCGGGGCUAUGAUUGUUCGCAUUCACAACAUGGAUGUUGUUGGGAUGGUCGCACUCCUGCUUUUGGUCCUUCUGGAAAAGGUUGCCCACAAUGUAGAGACGUUUACAAAGACUUUUGCAAUAGAACGAAAAAACUUUGUGAUUGUCCAAUGGUUGCUGACUAUUGCAGGGUGACGUGCAACUUGUGCAGCAAAAGCAAAUCAAGUAAAACCUGUCAAUCAUCUAAGCACAAUUGCUGUUGGGAUGGCAGGACGCCAGCCAAGGGUCCUAAAGGCAAAGGGUGCCCAAAAAUAAAAGAUGAUCCUGGAGCAAAUUGCAAACUGUACGAAUCAGAAUGUUUGCGAAAUCCCUACUACAUGUGGAAAAAAUGCAGAAAGUCUUGCAUUGCGAAUCUACCGCCGAUCGAGCCGUUCAUUCAGGGAUUUGGUCCAGUUAAUCAACUUGGCAUUCCGCCACCCGCAUGCGGGCAACCACCAAUGUUUCCCGGCAUGCCAGCAGGGCAUGCCCCAUACCCUGGUAUGCAGCAAGGCAUGAAUAGCACCAUAGGGAAAAAAGGUUCAACAAAGAAUGUAAAACAGGAAAAAAACAUACAUAGUCAUUAUCGAUAUUGAGUGAUUUUAAUUUAAAAAGGUCCUUUAUCAUGUACAGACGGCCUCGAAAUAGAAACACUUUAUUAUAUCAUAAUAAUAUCUUAUCAUGAUAUUUGUGACAAGAUAAAAUAGACAUGAUAUUUGUGCCAAGAUAAAAUAGACAUGAUAUUUGUGUCAAGAUAAAAUAGUGAAAAUUUUGAAUUUCCAUGUGCUGUAACUUCGUGUUCGGUUUUACCACUAACUGAGAUUUCACAUUUCCGUUCUUGAGACAUCAGUAAACAUAUAUAAUGAAGAAAAUAUUUUAAUUUUUUUUUUUACAAAUCAGCAGCGGGCGGAAUCCUAAACUUUCCUGCAAUCUGUUUUACAAUAUCUGACAACGGUCCGGAAUCCUAUAUUUUAUGUCAGUCGAGCGAAAGCGUAUUUUGUCUUGUUUUUCUAAAUAUAUGGAUCAAAUGAUUAUCACGAUAUAUUGAAGUGAAAUUUAGUAAAUUAACCAGUUCAAGUUUUGAUUGUUUAUGUUUUUGUCCCCAUUGCUGAGGCUGACUACACAAUGAUAAUAAUACGACCGAACACCGCUUUUUUGUAAAAAUAUAAAUACGUUACUUGAUUUACUGUUUUGCUCGGCCCGGAUAGAAAAAUAUUUCCCCUCGGUCUCAAAAACGUUUUGGAUACCUCAGGAAAAUAUUUUUCUAUCCGGACCUCGCAGCCAGAAAUAACAAUAUAAGCUAAAAACAACUAUCUACAACAAAUACUUCACCAAAAAAAUUAAAGACCGUAGAAAUAUCACUUUAAGCCCUAGAUAUCUCGCAAUAAGCAAUCUUUGUCAUAUAUA